CGCACAUUGCGCCCUUUGGUAUUCCGAGGGGCACGCCUGUUCGAGCGUCAUUUAAACCAUCAAGCCCAGCUUGGUCUUGGACGCGGUCGAGUGACCCGUCCGUAACCUGUUGGCGGUGCAGUCCGGCUUCGAGCGUAGCAAAACCCUCGCUCCAGGAGUCCGUACGGCGCCCGCCAGGGAAUGGCCACCUUUUAAAGUUUGACCUCGGAUCAGGUGGGGAUACCCGCUGAACUUAA
rnacentral:misc_RNA from 1 species